AUUAUGUAUCCAUUUUUUCCUUCUCCCUCUUGGAUAUCCGCAGCAUGUGUGGAGGGAAGUCAGACAAAACCAAAAAGGGGAAAUAAUAAUUCUUCCAACCUUCUGUGCAGCCAAGUCUGACCCCUGCUUUUCUCCUAUUUCCAAGACUAUAAACUUACGGUGGAUUUUAUCUGAUUUUAAUUUUUAUUAUUUUAUCUUCAUUUAUUCUAACAAAUAUAUUAAAUAGAAGGCAAAAUGCAAUGAACUAUUCUUAACCUCUGCUGACUUUUAGGGCAAUUCCAAGCAUUCUAGGAAUUCCUCUUCAUGCCUUGGGCUGAAGGUGCAAUUCAAAACAAUGGUCACCUAAGCAGCAUUCUUCCCAUCACCAUGCUGAGAGCCACCAGAGUGUCAUCUCAAACUCCCUUCCAGGAGAUUUGGGUCAUCAGCACAGAUAGCUCUGAUAGCUCUGAUUGUCCCACCAUCUCCAAUAGACAUUUUUGGACUUAACCAUUGUCCUCCUGACCUGGGAACAGACCCCGGAUUUGCCACCCAUUGUCCUGAACUUGAUAUCUGCCCAAUCUCAUUAUUUACUUGCCCAGACGUUCAUUGUUUUACAAAUUCUAUUGACAAACAUCCAAAGAUGGGUGCAAUGACCUAGAAGCCUCCAUAUCCCAGGAAACACCUCUGACUGCUGAUUGGCAGGGUGGGGAUCCCCAGCUGCACCAUCACCACCUGGGCCAAUUAGGGCACGUGCCACCUAAACUCGCCCUCAACCAAUCAGAGGUGAGUAAAAUGCCAGCCGACUUUUCAGCUAAUCAGGGAAAGGGAAGGGAAUUUCAAACCAUAGCAAUGUUAAUGCAUGACAUUCCUUCUAUAUAAAAGUGACUGCAUCUCCCAUAUUGAUUAAAGUAAAGGUAAAGGUUCUCCCCUAACAUUAAGUCCUGUCAUGUCCAACUCUGGGAGUUGGUGCUCAUCUCCAUUUCUAAGCCAAAGAGCCAGCAUUGUCUGUAGACACCUCCAAGGUCAUGUGGCUGGCAUGACUGCAUGGAGCACUGUUACCUUCCCGCCAGAGCAGUACCUAUUGAUCUACUCACAUUUGCAUGUUUUCGAACUGCUGGGUUGGCAGAAGCUGGGGCUAACAGUAGGUAAUCACUCCACUCCCCGGAUUCUAACCUGAGAUCAGCCGCUCAGCGCUUUAACAUGCUGUGCCACCAGAGGUCCAUAUUGAUUAUGCUUGUACAUUUUGGCAUCCAUUACAGUAUACAGCAUCCCUUCUGCAGAUUGAAUAAAUAUUCUGUUGUUUGCUUUCACACUGGUGAGAUCCUGGUGGUCUUCUGUAACCAUGGCCUUUAGAAAACUGAAAUUUUCGGCUUCAGUAGGCUCUUGGUUUCUGCUGGGGUUUGAUUCUGGGAUGCCUCCAGUGGACACUGAAAUCUGUAGAUGCUCAUAUACAAUAUUAUAGUAAAAUGGUGCCCCUUAUAUAAAAUGGCAAAAUCAGGGUUUUGGAGGUAACUUUUAAAAUGUAUUUUCAAGCCAUGGAUGGUUGAAUCCCUGGGUGCAGAAUCUCUGGAUAUGGAGGGAUGGCUGUCUUUUCCAUUUCUGGAUUUGUGGCUGGAUCUUUGGAGGGGUCUGAGAACAGAAAAUCGACCCUUGGACCUAUUGGAUAGGCUCACCCUUGGAACAGCCCCACUGAAAUAAAUGAGACUUCACUGAUUUAUUACUUCAAUUAAUUGCGUUCAGCAGGUCUAAUCUUAAGUAUGAUGAAAUCUGGAUGCAACGCAUCAGUAUUCAGCUUUGAGCACUGUUUGAAUAUUUCCCUUCCAGAAAUAUUUUGAGAUUUCAUGGGAAAUAAAGGGAAAUGCCAGCAAAUGGCUCAUUAAGUGACUGACUGUAUAACUCAGUUAACUAAUACUUGAUAAUAUGACCAUAUUCCCCCAUAAUCAGGGUCAACACUUAAAUCACAAUUUUGCAGGAGGAUAUAAAAACUUUUAAUUCUCAAAUGAGAUAGAGAUGGCUUGGCAAAGGAAAAGCAAGCAUGCACAUGCAUAUACACCCACACACGCAUACACAUAAUAGGUUAUGAAAACUUCUUUCCAAUCCAUGGGACACCAUUUCCAUAAUGUCUAUUGGCUUUGGGAAAACAGAAAAAUAGCAACUGCACAGCCCUGUAAAUUGGUUUUUGCGCAUUAAAUAACUCCAACUCUCAUUUUGUGGGAAACAGAACUGGAGCCUUGUUUAUUCAAAUCCUGGUUGUACGGCAUGUUAUACAUCUUUCCAGAAUGUUACACUGUGCAUCUAGAUGACACUGUUGUAAAUAUCUUUAUUAUUUCUUAUGAUAAUAUCCCUCUGAUUUAUCCUUUAGGAAGAAAAGACACACAUCUGGUAUUCUAUUUGAACAAGAAUUUCAUUGAUCUACCAAGAGAUGGCAGUCGAGCAAUGUUUUCCUUUUGGACCUCAGAUGGGAAAUUUAGCAAGAAGAAGAAAAGGAAAGGGCAAAAGGCCCUAAAUACGUUUCCCUCCUCUUUUAGGUUUCUUAAUUUGAAAGCUAAAUGUUGGAAAUGGAUGGUCCGGAGAAUGGGAAUCUAUCUUUAAAAAAAAUAGCCGAAAGUGCCACAUGUGAAGUCAGCACAAAUUGCCUCACACUGACCUGUCAGAUUUAAUCUGCUUCAAACAUCUUUGUCAGAGAUGAUAGAGGAUUUAACCAUUUUGCUGACUUGGAAAUUGAGAUUAGCAAAAUGAUAGCUGGAUGCUGUGGUUUAAAAGCACUGAAUUCAAUCAUAGGCUGAUCUUUUUAAAAUGUUUUUUGGGAGAAGGUGCAAGAUAACAUUUUGCUUUUGUGAUGACUCAUGGGCCUUGUAGUCGUGUUCCUAGUACUAUUGUGGCAGACGAAGAGGAAAACAUGGGAUUUCUGCCGUUUCAGCCAGAGCUGGGGCCUCUCCACCUGGAGGAUGUUUCCCCUCAAGAAUCUAGCCAAACAGGCCUUGGGCAGAAUUCCCCCCCCCCGUUUUCCCGGGGGGACAAUUAUAAUAGAGAUAGAGGAGUCAGAGAGGCUAAUCGCCGGAGCCUGAGAAUCGCUGCCAAACUAGCUGAUUAGGUCUGCUUCCCUUGGGAAAUUCUAAGGAGUCAUGCAUCUGGACAGAGUUGGGUUUCGCUUCUCGUUCUCUAGGGAAAGUGUUCUGUUGGUGGGAAAACGAGACCCGAUAUAGGUGCUGGUCACAAGGGGAACUUUGCGGAGUCAAUUGAUCAGCUUGAGGAGAGAGAUCGUGUGUGGACUUUGUACCCCAGUUCCUUGCUUUCCGGAUCAAGAUUCAAGCCUGCCUUGUUUCACGUUUUGCCACGGACCUUGUUCAUGCUUCAUGUUUGCCUCGUUUCAAGUCUUUGAUCUAGCCAAGAAUCAAGUUUAUUUUCCAGCCUUGUUGUCAAGCUACGUUGGACUUUAAAGACUCUGUCAUUUCCCCACACUUUGCUUGGCAAAGUGUGUGUUUCGGUCAAGUGGAUUAAAACUUUGAACUCUAAUAUCUUAUAUUGGACAAUACAUUUCUGGACUAUAUUUGACCUCAUCUGAAAGGUCUGCUUCUGAACUAUAUUCUUCACUUGUUUUUAUUGACUUUAUAUAUUUCUAUAAUAAAGAUAUUAGAUAGA